CGGAGGGUGCAAGCGUUGUCCGGAUUUAUUGGGUUUAAAGGGUGCGUAGGCGGCUUUUUAAGUCAGUGGUGAAAUCCUGCAGCUUAACUGUAGAACAGCCAUUGAUACUGAAGAGCUUGAGUACAGACGAGGUAGGCGGAAUUUAUGGUGUAGCGGUGAAAUGCAUAGAUACCAUAAAGAACCCCUAUUGCGAAGGCAGCUUACUAGGCUGUAACUGACGCUGAGGCACGAAAGCGUGGGGAUCAAACAGGAUUAGAUACCCUGGUAGUCCACGCUGUAAACGAUGAUUACUCGAUGUUCGCGAUAUACAGUGAGCGUCCAAGCGAAAGCGUUAAGUAAUCCACCUGGGAAGUACGAUCGCAAGAUUG
rnacentral:rRNA from 1 species